rnacentral:rRNA from 1 species
GAUGAACGCUGGCGGCGUGCCUAAUACAUGCAAGUCGAGCGAACAGACGAGGAGCUUGCUCCUCUGACGUUAGCGGCGGACGGGUGUGUAACACGUGGAUAACCUACCUAUCAGACUGGGAUAACUUCGGGACACCGGCGCAAAUACCGGAUAAUCUACUGAAGCGCGUGGUUCAAUAGUGAAAGACGGUUUUGCUGUCACUUAUAGAUGGAUACGGGCCGCAUUAGCUAGUUGGUAAGGUAACGGCUUACCAAGGCAACGAUGCGUAGCCGACGUGAGAGGGUGAUCGGCCACACUGGAAGUGAGACACGGUCCAGGCGACUGAGAGAGGCAGCAGUAGGGAAUCGUCCGCAAUGGGCGAAAGCCUGACGGAGCAGCGCCGCGUGAGUGAUAAAGGUCUUCGGAGCGUAAUACUGUGUUAUUAGUGAAGAACAAAUGUGUAAGUAACUAUGCACGUCGUGACGGUACCUAAUCAGAAAGCCACGGCUAACUACGUG